rnacentral:rRNA from 1 species
AUGAACGCUAGCUACAGGCUUAACACAUGCAAGUCGAGGGGCAGCAUCAUCAAAGCUUGCUUUGAUGGAUGGCGACCGGCGCACGGGUGAGUAACACGUAUCCAACCUGCCGACAACACUGGGAUAGCCUUUCGAAAGAAAGAUUAAUACCGGAUGGCAUAAUUAUUCCGCAUGGGAUAAUUAUUAAAGAAUUUCGGUUGUCGAUGGGGAUGCGUUCCAUUAGGCAGUUGGCGGGGUAACGGCCCACCAAACCUACGAUGGAUAGGGGUUCUGAGAGGAAGGUCCCCCACAUUGGAACUGAGACACGGUCCAAACUCCUACGGGAGGCAGCAGUGAGGAAUAUUGGUCAAUGGACGAGAGUCUGAACCAGCCAAGUAGCGUGAAGGAUGACUGCCCUAUGGGUUGUAAACUUCUUUUAUACGGGAAUAAAGUGAGCCACGUGUGGCUUUUUGUAUGUACCGUAUGAAUAAGGAUCGGCUAACUCCGUGCCAGCAGCCGCGGUAAUACGGAGGAUUCGAGCGUUAUCCGGAUUUAUUGGGUUUAAAGGGAGCGUAGGCGGGUUGUUAAGUCAGUUGUGAAAGUUGGCGGCUCAACCGUAAAAUUGCAGUUGAUACUGGCGACCUUGAGUGCAACAGAGGUAGGCGGAAUUCGUGGUGUAGCGGUGAAAUGCUUAGAUAUCACGAAGAACUCCGAUUGCGAAGGCAGCUUACUGGAUUGUAACUGACGCUGAUGCUCGAAAGUGUGGGUAUCAAACAGGAUUAGAUACCCUGGUAGUCCACACAGUAAACGAUGAAUACUCGCUGUUGGCGAUAUACGGUCAGCGGCCAAGCGAAAGCAUUAAGUAUUCCACCUGGGGAGUACGCCGGCAACGGUGAAACUCAAAGGAAUUGACGGGGGCCCGCACAAGCGGAGGAACAUGUGGUUUAAUUCGAUGAUACGCGAGGAACCUUACCCGGGCUUAAAUUGCAACUGACGGAACCGGAAACGGUUCUUUCUUCGGACAGUUGUGAAGGUGCUGCAUGGUUGUCGUCAGCUCGUGCCGUGAGGUGUCGGCUUAAGUGCCAUAACGAGCGCAACCCUUACGGGUAGUUACCAUCAGGUUAUGCUGGGGACUCUACCCGGACUGCCGUCGUAAGAUGUGAGGAAGGUGGGGAUGACGUCAAAUCAGCACGGCCCUUACGUCCGGGGCUACACACGUGUUACAAUGGGGGGUACAGAAGGCAGCUACACGGCGACGUGGUGCUAAUCCCAAAAGCCUCUCUCAGUUCGGAUUGGAGUCUGCAACCCGACUCCAUGAAGCUGGAUUCGCUAGUAAUCGCGCAUCAGCCACGGCGCGGUGAAUACGUUCCCGGGCCUUGUACACACCGCCCGUCAAGCCAUGAAAGCCGGGGGUACCUGAAGUACGUAACCGCGAGGAGCGUCCUAGGGUAAAACUGGUGAUUGGGGCU